rnacentral:lncRNA from 1 species
UUUAGUCCAUUUAAUUUUUCUUUAAUCUAUAAUUCAACUUUUACCCUAUAUGCAAUUUAGUGUUUAUACCUAAUUACUCUUAAUUCAUGCAAAUUCACUUAAUCAAAACCUGAUUAACUACACAACUAGCUUCGUAAAUAUUUUUAAUAAAUAUUUACGAGUUCUAUUUACGGGAACGGAGUCUCGAGAAUACACUUUUCGACACCCCUGACUAUCAAGUUGUUACACGCUCGAUCACUCAUGAC